CCCUUAGACACUCUAGGCGGCACGCGCGCUACAAUGGGUGGAAGAACGUGUUACUGCCUCCGAAAGGAGGGGUGAAUCACGAAUUCUUGCCCGUGAAUGGGAUAGUUUGUUGCAAUUUUCGGACUUGAACUAGGAAUCCCUUGUAAACAUGCUCAAGAAUAGCGUGUUGAAUACGUCCCUGCCGUUUGUACACACCGACCGUCGUUUCUUCCGACUGAUACUCAUUGUGAGUUGCAAGGACCCUUUAUUGGGAAAUUGCUGCAAAUGCUUUGUAUUGGAGGAAGAAAAAGUCGUAACA
rnacentral:rRNA from 1 species